UAGUGCACCACAUGCUAUGGCACAAAGAAAAUGGUUGCUGAGUGUCAAGUGUUCUGGAACUAUUUAGAGGUCAAUGGCCCUCUAAAAUACAGCACCUUUAAUCCUGGUUUGCAAGACAGAUGUGCUUUAAAACAAAGUACACUCAUAAAUCAUCUCUGUAGGGAUAGCUUAUUUUAUGCUAUGGAAAAGGGAAGGUACUAGAAUGUUGAAGAUUGCAUAACAGAGUUGUCCUUGUCCAGAAAAGCAUCAUCACAUUUCUAUCUUCUUGAACAUCAGCAUUGACAAGAGUGGCCUAUGAUGCAAUUAUGUUGGUCCCUGAGUGCCACAGGGUAAACCUCUCCAAAGCCAGUUAAAUUAAUCAAGAAGGCGAAAUGUUAAUAUGUCAAUAUGGUGACUAAGCAGGGGAAAUUCGUACCCUGAGCAUCAUCCCGUCUGCAAAACUGGGUCUGAUACAUGGAAUAGCGAUAUGAAACGGGACUUGAUUUGAGAGUAAUGUUGGAUGAUGUGUUAUAGCCUGAUCAAGUCAGCAAUUAAAUAUAAUCACAAGAGAGAGUUGUUUAAAAAUGUUUCUCUACUUCACUUUGAUGGAAUACAAUUCUACAGAACACAUUCAGAAUUAAGAGGCGUGUAUUUAGCUUAAUUAAAUAUUUAAUCACA